AAGGAAAAAAAUCAUCUUCAGUUUUGAAAGACUUAGAUUAUAUAAGUUUUUCUUUUAGGUAAGUAUUAUAUAUUUUUUAAAGAGCCUAUAGCUCAGUUGGUUAGAGCACACGCCUGAUAAGCGUGAGGUCGGUGGUUCAAGUCCAUUUAGGCUCACCAAUAUAAAUAUAUUAAUAUAAUUUUUACCUUUUAAAGUUCUUUGAAAAGUAGAUAAAUAUAGCUUUUAGAAUUAUAAUGGAAU
rnacentral:misc_RNA from 1 species